ACUAAGGUGGCAGAGCCCGGCAAUUGCAAAAGACCUAAGCCCUUUCUACCGGGGGUUCAUCCCCCCCUUAGUU
rnacentral:tRNA from 1 species